rnacentral:rRNA from 1 species
AUUGAACGCUGGCGGCAGGCCUAACACAUGCAAGUCGAACGGUAGCACAGAGAGCUUGCUCUCGGGUGACGAGUGGCGGACGGGUGAGUAAUGUCUGGGAAACUGCCCGAUGGAGGGGGAUAACUACUGGAAACGGUAGCUAAUACCGCAUAACGUCGCAAGACCAAAGUGGGGGACCUUCGGGCCUCACACCAUCGGAUGUGCCCAGAUGGGAUUAGCUAGUAGGUGGGGUAAUGGCUCACCUAGGCGACGAUCCCUAGCUGGUCUGAGAGGAUGACCAGCCCAACUGGAACUGAGACACGGUCCAGACUACUACGGGAGGCAGCAGUGGGGAAUAUUGCACAAUGGGCGCAAGCCUGAUGCAGCCAUGCCGCGUGUAUGAAGAAGGCCUUCGGGUUGUAAAGUACUUUCAGCGGGGAGGAAGGCGGUGAAGUUAAUAACUUCACCGAUUGACGUUACCCGCAGAAGAAGCACCGGCUAACUCCGCGCCAGCCGCCGCAGUAA